rnacentral:rRNA from 1 species
UACGGAGGAUCCGAGCGUUAUCCGGAUUUAUUGGGUUUAAAGGGUGCGCAGGCGGGAGAUUAAGUCGGCGGUGAAAUUUUGCAGCUCAACUGUAAAAGUGCCUUCGAUACUGGUUUCCUUGAGUGUGGAUGAAGUAGGCGGAAUUUGUGGUGUAGCGGUGAAAUGCUUAGAUAUCACGAGGAACUCCGAUUGCGCAGGCAGCUCACUAAACCACUACUGACGCUCAGGCACGGAGGCGUGGGGAUCAAACAGGAUUAGAUACCCU